CCUACGGGUGGCUGCAGUGGGGAAUCUUGGGCAAUGGGCGAAAGCCUGACCCAGCAACGCCGCGUGAAGGCAGAAGGCUUUCGGGUUGUAAACUUCUUUUGACAGGGAAGAGCAGAAGACGGUACCUGUCGAAUAAGCCACGGCUAACUACGUGCCAGCAGCCGCGGUAAUACGUAGGUGGCAAGCGUUGUCCGGAUUUACUGGGUGUAAAGGGCGUGUAGCCGGGCUGACAAGUCAGAUGUGAAAUCCGGGGGUUCAACCCCCGAACGGCAUUUGAAACUGUUGGUCUUGAGUAGCGGAGAGGCAGGCGGAAUUCCUAGUGUAGCGGUGAAAUGCGUAGAUAUCACGCAGAAAUCCGAUCGCGAAGGCAGCCUACCGGCGCGCAACUGACGCUCAUGCACGAAAGCGUGGGUAUCGAACAGGAUUAGAUACCCCUGUAGUC
rnacentral:rRNA from 1 species